UGGGGAAUAUUGCACAAUGGCGGGAACUCUGAUGCAGCGACGCCGCGUGAGUGAUGAAGGACUUCGUUUCGUAAAACUCUGUUCUAUGGGAAGAAAAGGACUGUACCAUAGGAGAAAGCUCCGGCUAAAUACGUGCCAGCAGUCGCGGUAAUACGUAUGGAGCGAGCGUUGUCCGGAAUUAUUGGGCGUAAAGGGUGCGCAGGCGGCUUUACAAGUUGGAUGUGAAAUAUUGUGGCUAAACCACAAACGUGCAUCCAAAACUGCAAAGCUUGAGUUAAGGAGAGGUAAGUGGAAUUCCUGGGGUAGCUGUGGAAUGCGUAGAUAUCAGGAGGAAUACCGGUGGAUAAGGCGACUUACUGAACUUAAACUGACGCUCAGUCACGAAAGCGUGGGGAGCAAACAGG
rnacentral:rRNA from 1 species